UGAGACACCACUUCGCACCCACUUGGAUGGCUAGAAUCAAAAAUGCAGAUAAUAACAAGUGCAGGGAAGGUUGGGAAGUUG